rnacentral:lncRNA from 1 species
CCCAAUAUUGUAGAUGCCUGGUCCUGAGGUCCAAGACAAAACGACUGAGAUCAAUGGACUCACAAUUCAGCAGCUUCUGUUUGAAGAUGUGGGAGUGUGCCAAACCAUCCAUAGCUGACAGAAUAUGGGAGGACCAACAAUCAUCGGACCUUGAGCUCAGCCGCAUGUCAGCCUGCAAAAUCUUUUUCAUUGUCGAGCUGUUGCAUCGGGUCAGAGAAUUAUAAAGACGCAUUGCUGCUCGGAACCAGUUGAACUGUAAGGGCUCCAAACCACAUUCUCGCAUGAUGC